ACUUUGGAUACGCCGUCUACCGUACCAACCAAAACGCCACCGCAAUCUCGAUCAACUUUUAUUAUUCUGUCGACGGUUCUUAAAAGUAUUACUGUUACUUUCUUUUUUGUUCUACUAGAGUUUUUACUAGUGUUAUAAUUCUCGUUUUUUUUUUACUUCUUUUAUUAAACGGCUCGACGCACAGUUAAAAUCAACCGGUGUUACAUUUUCUAACCCUCAUCAACUUCUACCAUAACAACUGGCUCCCCGGCUCAAGAUCUGAACCGGAUUAACUUUUUAAUAAGGUGAUCCCUAUCAUAGAACCCUUUAGCGAUCAAACAGGCAUGAGGCAAAAUGGCAAUCUAGUGCCGUGUAUAAAUAGCCGUACUACGGUCUGUGUUAACGCAACGCUUGGUGAUACUCGCGCGGGUUGGUUAACACUCAUUAAUUUUGUCUAUUCAUACAGAAGAAAGAAGUAGAAUACUUGAUAAUAAUGCAACAAUGGCGUCAAAAUAAAAUAAAACAAUUCGAUUAAUAACUUCUCAUCUACAAUGAUGAUAAUAACCGAUUGCUGUAAGUGGAAGAAGAAUGAAGUUGUCAGUAUGGCAAUUAAACCGUGCAAAACAUACUGUCGCAAACAGUAGUUCAUAGUGUGAUCAUUGGGGUCAUUUAUAACACCUGGUGUACUAUAGAGUAUAUAACUUUAUCACAGCAUCAAACUCUGUUGUAAUAGACUCCUAUAUUUCUCUACUACUUAAGGGAACUUUAUGGUCGAAAACAUAACAAAAAAACAAUCUUGUAACAAACAUGGAUCUUAUAGUAAAUCUUUCGAAAGUAUAGCGUGAACUAACUACUCUUUGUAGAAGAAUCGAUUAAAUUAAAAAUCACAAUGUGAACAACAUCCUUUAGUGAACCGUUCAUCAACCAAGAGUCGCUAGAUUGGUUAAUUAAUUUGGUUUCGUGAAUUAUUCUUGUGUUUCCUUUUUUCUGUACUA